ACAACCCUAAGGUCCCUUUCUCUCCCUUUAAAUGAACUACUAGCUGGCUCGGACAGAGAGGCCGAGAGUCCAGGUCUGCGGUCUGCGUGGGGCUCUAGGCUCCGAGGAGGCCCCAGGUCCUUAGAAGGCGGCGCCGGGUGAGGCAAUCCCGUACCCGGGUGAGGACCUGCCCGCGGCUCUGCCGGGAUGAGGACCCCAGAACCAGUCCCGCGGCGCAGUAGGCUGCCGAGCGCUACGGACUACAUUUCCCACAAUGCACCCCGGGGGCGGGCCGGGUCGAGCCGAGCGGCUGGAGCUGGGCCUUAGCCGCGAGAGUCCGGCGAAAGCUGUCUUCCUGCACCGGCGGCCGGGUGAGGGCGGUGGGAGGGCGCGGUGCCGGCGCUGUGGCCAUGUCUGUGUACGCAGGGGGCCGGGGCCCCGCGAAGCUGUGCCCCCAGGCCGGACCCAGGCAGACAACCUUAUCCCCCCAGGGGUCCGGCAGAGGGCAGUGACCAGCCCCUUCUGUGCGUCCUGGGCCCCUCUGAGAAACAGGAGAGCCCAAAGGAUGGCUGCUGACAUGCAGAGGAAGAGAAGCAGCGAAUGCCCUGAUGGCACAUUGACUCCUUCUGAUGGACAGAGUGUGGAGAGAGCUGAAAGCCCCACACCAGGACUGGCCCAGGGAAUGGAGCCAGGUGCUGGGCAGGAGGGUGCCAUGUUCGUCCAUGCCCGUUCCUACGAGGACCUGACUGAGUCAGAGGAUGGGGCAGCUUCCGGGGACAGCCCCAAGGAGGGUGCCAGGGGUCCCCCACCGCUGCCUGCAGACAUGCACCAGAUCAGCCAGGACUUUAGCGAGCUAAGCACCCAGCUGACGGGUGUGGCCCGGGACCUGCAGGAAGAGAUGCUGCCAGGAAGCUCUGAGGAUUGGCUGGAAUCCCCAGGGGCAGUUGGGCGACCAGCCACAGAGCCCCCCAGGGAGGGCACAAACGAGGGGGAUGAGGAGGAUGCCACGGAGGCAUGGCGCCUGCACCAGAAGCAUGUCUUUGUGCUGAGUGAGGCAGGGAAGCCUGUGUACUCCCGCUAUGGGUCUGAGGAGGCACUUUCCAGCACUAUGGGUGUUAUGGUGGCCCUGGUGUCCUUCCUGGAGGCAGACAAGAACGCCAUCCGCUCCAUCCAUGCAGAUGGCUACAAGGUAGUAUUCCUACGCCGGAGCCCGCUGGUGCUGGUGGCGGUGGCUCGCACGCGGCAGUCGGCACAGGAGCUGGCACAGGAGCUGCUCUACAUCUACUACCAGAUCCUGAGCCUUCUUACCGGUGCGCAGCUGAGCCAUAUCUUCCAGCAGAAGCAGAACUAUGACCUGCGGCGCCUGCUCUCAGGUUCAGAGCGUAUCACUGACAACCUGCUACAGCUCAUGUCACGAGACCCCAGCUUCCUGAUGGGGGCGGCACGGUGCCUGCCCCUGGCGGCAGCCGUGCGCGACACUGUGAGUGCCAGCCUGCAGCAGGCGCGUGCGCGUAGCCUGGUCUUCUCCAUCCUGUUGGCCCGCAACCAGCUCGUGGCACUCGUACGCCGAAAGGACCAAUUUCUGCAUCCCAUCGACCUGCACCUGCUCUUCAACCUCAUUAGUUCCUCCUCGUCCUUCCGCGAGGGCGAGGCCUGGACGCCCGUGUGCCUGCCCAAAUUCAACGCAGCCGGCUUCUUCCAUGCACACAUCUCUUACCUAGAGCCUGACACCGACCUCUGCCUGCUGCUCGUCUCCACCGACCGUGAGGACUUCUUUGCGGUCUCUGACUGCCGCCGCCGCUUCCAGGAGCGCCUUCGCAAGCGCGGAGCCCACCUGGCCCUGCGAGAGGCGCUGCGAACACCCUGCUACAGCGUGGCCCAAGUGGGCAUCCCUGACCUGCGCCAUUUCCUCUAUAAGUCAAAGAGCUCGGGACUCUUCACCAGGGAAAGCAAUGGAAGUCAUUCCUUUACAAACCCACUCACCCGACCCCAUGUGCAGCCCGGAGAUUGAGGCCCCGUACACCAGUGAAGAGGAGCAGGAGCGGCUGCUGGGCCUCUACCAGUACCUGCACAGCCGUGCCCACAAUGCAUCUCGCCCACUCAAGACCAUUUACUACAUGGGCCCCAACGAGAACCUCCUGGCCUGGGUGACAGGCGCCUUUGAGCUCUACAUGUGCUACAGCCCCCUGGGGACCAAGGCAUCAGCCGUCAGUGCCAUCCAUAAGCUGAUGCGCUGGAUCCGCAAAGAGGAAGACCGCCUCUUCAUUCUCACGCCCCUAACCUAUUGAUGGGAAUGUGUGUAGGCUCAGCCUUCCUGGGCCUACUGGGUGUGGGAAGCCAUGGGAGCCUCCAGAUGGGGGAUGGCCUCUCUUGCCUAGCCAGCGGGCAGGGACUUUGGGUUGGUGAGUUCAUUAAAGUGCUUUGGGGAAGACA